GGUCUCAGCCAGGGAUCAGUGGACUCGGUGGCUCCGGGCCUGAGGUGAGACGGCACCCACAGUCUCCAGAAGCCACACAGAGGAGAGCUGUCAGCUCAGGGCAGUGGGGAAGCCCAGAGAAGCUGGGGACCAGACCCGGUCCCAGAGGGCACACCUGCCCCGCCCUUCCUCCAGCAGCGCCGCCCGCCCGGGCUCCCACGGCCUCCAGGAGCCCACUCAGCCAUGCGUGGCCAACCCGCUGCUGAGGUGGAGCCCUAGGGAUGCAACUCAUCGGUGCCAGCCUGCUCCCCCCCCCUGCAGCACCGGAGCUCCUGCCAGGAGCCAGUGCGCGCACCCACCUUCCCGCAGCGCCACGGGCACCCGCGGUGGCGUGGCAGGCCGGGUUUCCUCACGUGUCGUCGGGCACUGCGGCAAGGCUGCCUCGGGAGGGCGCACCUGGCCCCCGGCCACGCUGAGGUCGGUCCUUUCUCUGCUCAUCCCAGCCCCCUCCCCGAUGGUCACAGCUCCGCUGUCCCCCCUGUCCUUCUUCCGCGUGUUGCUGGGGUGGAACCCAGUGCCCUGCCCAUGCUGGGCACACCCCUAGCCCCAGGCCAGGUGGCUCAUGGGAGGGUCCCCGGGGACCAACGGGGACGUCUGCUGACAUUGCGGCUGUCAGAACUGGACGCGGGUAGGAUGUGCCAUGAGCACCCAUCUAGUGGGCAGAGGCCCGGGUAGUGAUCAAGAGCCUGGAGUGUGCAGGGGGUCCCCACCACAGUGAAGGACCCGCUCUCAGAUGUCCACUGUGCUGAGGCUGAGAAACCCCAACCUGGAUGUCACAUAAGGCAGAGGGACUCAGGAAGACCAAUGGCCCGCUCCUCCUGGUGUCCCACCCCGGCUCCCCUGGGGCCAUCUGAAUGGGGUGGACUCGACUGCACUGCUCAGACCCAUGCCUUGCUGGGCACCUGAUCCCCACCUGUGCAAGAC
rnacentral:lncRNA from 1 species